rnacentral:rRNA from 1 species
CACGAAGUUAGCCGGGACUUAUUCUCCGGGUACCGUCAUUAUCGUCCCCGGCAAAAGAGCUUUACAACCCUAAGGCCUUCAUCACUCACGCGGCAUGGCUGGAUCAGGCUUGCGCCCAUUGUCCAAUAUUCCCCACUGCUGCCUCCCGUAGGAGUCUGGGCCGUGUCUCAGUCCCAGUGUGGCUGGUCGUUCUCUCAAACCAGCUAAGGAUCGUCGCCUUGGUGAGCCAUUACCUCACCAACUAGCUAAUCCUACGCGGGCCCAUCCUAUAGCGAUAAAUCUUUCCCCUUUCGGGCGUAUACGGUAUUACUCCAAGUUUCCCUGGGCUAUUCCGUACUAUAGGGAAGGUUCCCACGUGUUACUCACCCGUCUGCCGCUCCCCUUGCGGGGCGCUCGACUUGCAUGUGUUAGGCCUGCCGCCAGCGUUCGUUCUGAGCCAGGAUCAAACUCU